CCUACGGGAGGCAGCAGUGAGGAAUAUUGGUCAAUGGGCGAGAGCCUGAACCAGCCAAGUCGCGUGAAGGAUGACGGCCCUACGGGUUGUAAACUUCUUUUGUCAGGGAGCAAUUGGGUCCACGCGUGGGCUUAGCGAGAGUACCUGACGAAAAAGCAUCGGCUAACUCCGUGCCAGCAGCCGCGGUAAUACGGAGGAUGCGAGCGUUAUCCGGAUUUAUUGGGUUUAAAGGGUGCGUAGGCGGAAUAUCAAGUCAGCGGUAAAAAUUCGGGGCUCAACCCCGUCGUGCCGUUGAAACUGAUGUUCUGGAGUGGGCGAGAAGUAUGCGGAAUGCGUGGUGUAGCGGUGAAAUGCAUAGAUAUCACGCAGAACUCCGAUUGCGAAGGCAGCAUACCGGCGCCCAACUGACGCUGAAGCACGAAAGCGUGGGUAUCGAACAGGGUUAGAUACCCUAGUAGUC
rnacentral:rRNA from 1 species